rnacentral:piRNA from 1 species
UUCUUCCAGUUGGUCCAACAUUGC